GGAGAGUUUGAUCCUGGCUCAGGGCGAACGCUGGCGGCGUGCCUAACACAUGCAAGUCGAACGAGGUCGCCUUCGGGCAAUGACCUAGUGGCGAACGGGUGCGUAACACGUGAGGAACCUGCCCCGAAGACUGGGACAACCACGGGAAACUGUGGCUAAUACCAGAUGCCCUCCUCUGAUCGCAUGAUCGGAUGAGGAAAUGCUCCGGCGCUUCGGGAGGGCCUCGCGGCCUAUCAGCUUGUUGGUGGGGUAACGGCUCACCAAGGCAGUGACGGGUAGCUGGUCUGAGAGGACGAUCAGCCACACUGGGACUGAGACACGGCCCAGACUCCUGCGGGAGGCAGCAGUGGGGAAUCUUGCGCAAUGGGCGAAAGCCUGACGCAGCAACGCCGCGUGGGGGAUGAAGGCUCUCGGGUUGUAAACCCCUUUCAGCAGGGACGAAAUUGACGGUACCUGAAGAAGAAGCCCCGGCCAACUACGUGCCAGCAGCCGCGGUGACACGUAGGGGGCGAGCGUUGUCCGGAAUUAUUGGGCGUAAAGAGCUCGUAGGCGGUUUAGUAAGUCAGAUGUGAAAGGUUGGGGCUCAACCCUAAGACUGCAUCCGAUACUGCUAUGACUAGAGUCCGGUAGAGGAGUGUGGAAUUCCUGGUGUAGCGGUGAAAUGCGCAGAUAUCAGGAGGAACACCGACGGCGAAGGCAGCACUCUGGGCCGGUACUGACGCUCAGGAGCGAAAGCGUGGGUAGCAAACAGGAUUAGAUACCCUGG
rnacentral:rRNA from 2 species